rnacentral:rRNA from 1 species
CCUACGGGACGCAGCAGUGGGGGAUAUUGCACAAUGGGGGAAACCCUGAUGCAGCGACGCCGCGUGUGGGAAGACGGUCUUCUGGAUUGUAAACCACUGUCCCCAGGGACGAAAAUGACGGUACCUGGGGAGGAAGCUCCGGCUAACUACGUGCCAGCAGCCGCGGUAAUACGUAGGGAGCAAGCGUUGUCCGGAAUUACUGGGUGUAAAGGGAGCGUAGGCGGGGAUGCAAGUUGGGGGUCAAAACUACCGGCUCAACCGAUAGUCGCACUCAAAACUGCAACCCUUGAGGGCGCGGGAAGUAG